rnacentral:misc_RNA from 1 species
AAGGUAGCCGUCCGGAAGGUGCGGCUGGAUCACCUCCUUUCUAAGGAGCACCACGAAAAGCACCCCAACUGGUGGGGUGCGAGCCGUGAGGGGUUCCCGUCUGUAGUGGACGGGGGCCGGGUGCGCAACAGCAAAUGAUUGCCAGACACACUAUUGGGCCCUGAGACAACACUCGGUCCGUCCGUGUGGAGUCCCUCCAUCUUGGUGGUGGGGUGUGGUGUUUGAGUAUUGGAUAGU